ensembl:lncRNA
UGAGGGUUUUUACAUGAAUAAUGUGAGGCACUAUUUGAGACACUCCUGGCAGUGUAGUGUGAGUAACAGGUGCUGAGGACAAACCAUAUGAGGAUAUCCUAUUUUUUACUGGAAAACACCACGUCUGGGGACAUCACAGGCUACUGCAGAAGGGAGGAGAGGAGAAGAGGAGGCAAGAGGAGAGGGCAGGAGAGCAAGGGACAAACACAGGACAUGGAGUGCUUGGUUUGAAGGUGGUCGAGGUCAUACCGAAGUGUAGUACUUGAUCCCACUUUGUCUUCUCAUUUGGGGAUGACAUCAUGUUUUAGGUCCCUGUGAUUGUAACAUUGUAAGAUUGUGACAAUCAAUGUAUAGUCAUGUGAGAAAAUAAGUACACCCCAUGGAAAUGGUUGUUGUUGUUGUUGUUUUACAUAUUUGGACAAGCAAACAGUUGAUCCUCUUGAAACAGUGCCUAUUAAUGAAGUUGAUAUACUCUAUCAAACGACACAUAAAAUUGACAUUUUGUAGUAAUUUUCACAAUUUAAAUAAAAAAAAAAACCAGACCAGUCACAUAGGUCUGUGUAAGUAAGUCACCUACGUUUAUCACACCUUCAAAUCCAUAAAGUUAGACUCAGGUGUUGAAGAUCGGGUGCCAGUGAUUAGAACCUGCUCAGGGAGUGCAGGUGAAACCUGUCUUAUAUAUAUCCAUCUCAUAUCUAGUGUCUGGUGUUCCCUUUGCUAUUGAGGUGUGUGGUGUCAUCAUGCCAAGAUCUAAAGAGUUCUGUAAGGCCUUCAGAGAAAAAGGUUGUGGAUGCCUAUGAGUCUGGCAAGGGAUUUAAAAAGAUCUCCAAAUUAUUUGAAAUACAUCAUUCCACUGUAAGGAAAAUAUUCCAUAAAUGGCGCGGAUUUCAAACGACUGCCGAUUAGUCCAGGACUGGCCGUCCCAGAAAAUUCACCUCAAGAGCAGACCAUCUGAUGCACAAAGAAGUCUCCAAGAACUCCCAAAC